rnacentral:lncRNA from 1 species
UGGGCUUCUAUUUUUGUGUUUUUUGUUUAAAAAAUAGAUUGUGUUAAAAAAACAUAGCUAGUGAGGGUCGAAUAGGGGCGCCUGUUUCUGUGUUUUUCUUUGAAAUAAAUAGAUUGUGUUGAAUAAAUGUAGCUAGUGAGAAUCGAACCGCAGACCUCAAAGACAUAAAUGAGCAUGCUUACAGCCAUACUACAAGCGUUUAUUUUCUCUAAGGGUGUUCAAUUAGUUAUAUAUCCAGCUAUUAGACAAUAUUUUAUCUAUAUACACGGUAUAAUUUUCCGACGAAGAGUGUUCGACUGACCACCCUUACUUGGUUGUAGCUCCGCCCCUGAUUGUGGUCGUCCAAGUCAGAAAAAUGAGUCACUAAAGUUAUGACAUGUUUCAAGUAAAAUGACAAUCCAAGUCAAAUAAAUGAGUCAUUAAAAAC